CCUACGGGGGGCAGCAGUAGGGAAUAUUGCGCAAUGGGGGCAACCCUGACGCAGCGACGCCGCGUGAGUGAAGAAGGCCUUCGGGUUGUAAAGCUCUGUCGGAAGGGAAGAACGGUUCAGGUGUUAAUACCAUCUGGAUUUGACGGUACCUUCAAAGGAAGCACCGGCUAACUCCGUGCCAGCAGCCGCGGUACUACGGAGGGUGCGAGCGUUAAUCGGAAUUACUGGGCGUAAAGGGCGCGAAGGCGGCCCUACAAGUCAGUUGUGAAAGCCCACGGCUCAACCGUGGAUGUGGAAUUGGAACUGCUGGGGUUGAGUACCGGCGGGGUAGAUGAAAUUCCCGAUGUAGAGGUGACAGUCGUAGAUAUCGGGAGGAAUACCGGUGGUGAAUGCGAUCUUCCGGACGGAUACUGACGCUGAGGCGCGAAAGCGUGGGGAGCAAACAGGAUUAGAUACCCCUGUAGUC
rnacentral:rRNA from 1 species